CCUACGGGUGGCAGCAGUGAGGAAUAUUGGUCAAUGGGCGAGAGCCUGAACCAGCCAAGUCGCGUGAGGGAGUACUGCCCUAUGGGUUGUAAACCUCUUUUGUCGGGGAGCAAAAGCCGGACGUGUCCGGCUGUGAGAGUACCCGAAGAAAAAGCAUCGGCUAACUCCGUGCCAGCAGCCGCGGUAAUACGGAGGAUGCGAUCGUUAUCCGGAUUUAUUGGGUUAAAAGGGCGCGCAGGCGGAUGUUUAAGUCAGCGGUAAAAUCGUGGGGCUCAACCCCAUCCAGCCGUUGACACUGGGGAUCUAGAGUGUGCGAGAGGUAUGCGGAAUGCGUGGUGUAGCGGUGAAAUGCAUAGAUAUCACGCAGAACCCCGAUUGCGAAGGCAGCAUACCGGUGCACAACUGACGCUCAGGCACGAAAGCGUGGGUAUCGAACAGGAUUAGAUACCCCAGUAGUC
rnacentral:rRNA from 1 species